UGUCGGCUCUCCACCAGCCGGCGCGAAUACCGAAGAGGCUUGUCCUUCAUUGCCAGGUGUGCGGGCGGGAGCUCUCCCAACCAAUCCACGGCAGCACAUCCGGUUCUCGAAAACCGGCCAUGGUCGCGUCUCCAUCGUGCGACAUGGCAGGCUUUCCU
rfam:Oligotropha carboxidovorans OM5, complete genome.